CUUAUGCGUUGUUGGGUAGGGGAGCGUUCUGUAAGCCUGUGAAGGUGGCCUGUGAGGGUUGCUGGAGGUAUCAGAAGUGCGAAUGCUGACAUAAGUAACGAUAAAGCGGGUGAAAAGCCCGCUCGCCGGAAGACCAAGGGUUCCUGUCCAACGUUAAUCGGGGCAGGGUGAGUCGACCCCUAAGGCGAGGCCGAAAGGCGUAGUCGAUGGGAAACGGGUUAAUAUUCCCGUACUUGGUGUUACUGCGAAGGGGGGACGGAGAAGGCUAUGUUGGCCGGGCGACGGUUGUCCCGGUUUAAGCGUGUAGGUGUGUGUUCCAGGUAAAUCCGGUUCACUUUAACACUGAGGCGUGAUGACGAGGCACUACGGUGCUGAAGCAACAAAUGCCCUGCUUCCAGGAAAAGCCUCUAAGCAUCAGGUAACAUCAAAUCGUACCCCAAACCGACACAGGUGGUCAGGUAGAGAAUACCAAGGCGCUUGAGAGAACUCGGGUGAAGGAACUAGGCAAAAUGGUGCCGUAACUUCGGGAGAAGGCACGCUGACACGUAGGUGAAGUGAUUUACUCACGGAGCUGAAGUCAGUCGAAGAUACCAGCUGGCUGCAACUGUUUAUUAAAAACACAGCACUGUGCAAACACGAAAGUGGACGUAUACGGUGUGACGCCUGCCCGGUGCCGGAAGGUUAAUUGAUGGGGUCAGCGCAAGCGAAGCUCCUGAUCGAAGCCCCGGUAAACGGCGGCCGUAACUAUAACGGUCCUAAGGUAGCGAAAUUCCUUGUCGGGUAAGUUCCGACCUGCACGAAUGGCGUAAUGAUGGCCAGGCUGUCUCCACCCGAGACUCAGUGAAAUUGAACUCGCUGUGAAGAUGCAGUGUACCCGCGGCAAGACGGAAAGACCCCGUGAACCUUUACUAUAGCUUGACACUGAACAUUGAGCCUUGAUGUGUAGGAUAGGUGGGAGGCUUUGAAGCGUGGACGCCAGUCUGCGUGGAGCCGACCUUGAAAUACCACCCUUUAAUGUUUGAUGUUCUAACGUGGACCCGUGAUCCGGGUUGCGGACAGUGUCUGGUGGGUAGUUUGACUGGGGCGGUCUCCUCCUAAAGAGUAACGGAGGAGCACGAAGGUUGGCUAAUCCUGGUCGGACAUCAGGAGGUUAGUGCAAUGGCAUAAGCCAGCUUGACUGCGAGCGUGACGGCGCGAGCAGGUGCGAAAGCAGGUCAUAGUGAUCCGGUGGUUCUGAAUGGAAGGGCCAUCGCUCAACGGAUAAAAGGUACUCCGGGGAUAACAGGCUGAUACCGCCCAAGAGUUCAUAUCGACGGCGGUGUUUGGCACCUCGAUGUCGGCUCAUCACAUCCUGGGGCUGAAGUAGGUCCCAAGGGUAUGGCUGUUCGCCAUUUAAAGUGGUACGCGAGCUGGGUUUAGAACGUCGUGAGACAGUUCGGUCCCUAUCUGCCGUGGGCGCUGGAGAACUGAGGGGGGCUGCUCCUAGUACGAGAGGACCGGAGUGGACGCAUCACUGGUGUUCGGGUUGUCAUGCCAAUGGCACUGCCCGGUAGCUAAAUGCGGAAGAGAUAAGUGCUGAAAGCAUCUAAGCACGAAACUUGCCCCGAG
rnacentral:rRNA from 1 species